rnacentral:rRNA from 1 species
AUUGAACGCUAGCGGCAUGCUUUACACAUGCAAGUCGAACGGUAACAGGUUAAGCUGACGAGUGGCGAACGGGUGAGUAAUGCAUCGGAACGUGCCCGAUCGUGGGGGAUAACGCAGCGAAAGCUGCGCUAAUGCCGCAUACGAUCUGAGGAUGAAAGCGGGGGACCGUAGGGCCUCGCGCGAUCGGAGCGGCCGAUGUCAGAUUAGGUAGUUGGUGGGGUAAAGGCUCACCAAGCCAACGAUCUGUAGCUGGUCUGAGAGGACGACCAGCCACACUGGGACUGAGACACGGCCCAGACUCCUACGGGAGGCAGCAGUGGGGAAUUUUGGACAAUGGGCGAAAGCCUGAUCCAGCAAUGCCGCGUGCAGGAAGAAGGCCUUCGGGUUGUAAACUGCUUUUGUACGGAGCGAAAAGGUCUCCUCUAAUACAGGGGGCUCAUGACGGUACAGUAAGAAUAAGCACCGGCUAACUACGUGCCAGCCGCCGCGGUAA